UCCAGCCAUAAACACCACCAUCCUUGGCGUAGCGGGUACCUAGUACAAUAUCAUAAUUAUGCUCCUUUUGAAGUUUAAUAAAUUCUGGGAGAUAUUUGGGAUGAUGAGAAAAGUCGGCAUCCAUGAUAAUUACGAAAUCCCCUGUAGCAAAUUUUAGCCCAUGAAUAUAAGCAGUUCCCAGUCCGAGCUUGCCGCUUCGAGGCUUCAGUAAAAUCUUGUCUUCACCAUAGAUUUUCUGAAGCUCCUUGGCAACUUCUUGAGUUCCGUCGGGUGAAGCAUCGUCGAUUAUAACAAUUUCCCAAUCCAACUUUUCUUGGUCAAAGGUCUUAGCGAUCAAAUACGUGAUAAUUGGUAAAUUUUUCCUUUCAUUAUAGGUUGGUAAUAAAACGCUAUAUUUUGACAUCUUUGCUAGUAAUACCACA